rnacentral:rRNA from 1 species
GGAGUCCAACGUGUGCGCGAGUCGUUGGGUGGAAAAACCCAAUGGCGUAAUUAAGGUGAAGGGAAGUUCUCUUUCCUAGGGAGGAGGUGGGUCCGCCUUUACGGGCGACCCAUCGCACUCCCGGGGCGUCUCUUGCUCAUCGCGAGCGGAGGCGCACCUAGAGCGUUCACGUUGGGACCCGAAAGAUGGUGAACUAUGCCUGGCCAGGACGAAGCCAGGGGAAACCCUGGUGGAGGUCCGUAGCGGUUCUGACGUGCAAAUCGAUCGUCGGAGCUGGGUAUAGGGGCGAAAGACUAAUCGAACCAUCUAGUAGCUGGUUCCCUCCGAAGUUUCCCUCAGGAUAGCUGGCGCCCAUGUGAGACGAGUCUCAUCUGGUAAAGCGAAUGAUUAGAGGCCUUGGGGUCGAAACGACCUCAACCUAUUCUCAAACUUUAAAUGGAUGAGAACCCCGGCUUGCUUGGUCGAGUGAAGCCGGGGCUCGGAUCCGGGUGCCAAGUGGGCCAUUUUUG